AACGAACGCUGGCGGCAGGCUUAACACAUGCAAGUCGAACGGGUGUAGCAAUACAUCAGUGGCAGACGGGUGAGGAACACGUGGGAACAUCCCUUUCAGUUCGGAAUAACGUUGGGAAACUAACGCUAAUACCGGAUACGUCCUUCGGGAGAAAGAUUUAUCGCUGAAAGAUUGGCCCGCGUCUGAUUAGCUAGCUGGUGAGGUAACGGCUCACCAAGGCUACGAUCAGUAGCUGAUCUGAGAGGAUGAUCAGCCACAUUGGGACUGAGACACGGCCCAAACUCCUACGGGAGGCAGCAGUGGGGAAUAUUGGACAAUGGGCGCAAGCCUGAUCCAGCCAUGCCGCGUGAGUGAUGACGGCCUUCGGGUUGUAAAGCUCUUUUGUCCGGGAAGAUAAUGACUGUACCGGAAGAAUAAGCCCCGGCAAACUUCGUGCCAGCCGCCGCGGUAACAC
rnacentral:rRNA from 1 species